rnacentral:rRNA from 1 species
UGGCGGACGGGUGAGUAAUGUCUGGGAAACUGCCCGAUGGAGGGGGAUAACUACUGGAAACGGUAGCUAAUACCGCAUAACGUCGCAAGACCAAAGGGGGGACCGUUCGGGCCUCUUGCCAUCGGAUGUGCCCAGAUGGGAUUAGCUAGUAGGUGGGGUAACGGCUCACCUAGGCGACGAUCCCUAGCUGGUCUGAGAGGAUGACCAGCCACACUGGAACUGAGACACGGUCCAG